CAUGGCAGCCAUAUCACCCUGUAGCCCAAGACUGGUUGCCCACUGAAGCUAAGCAGGGCUGAGCCUGGUCAGUACCUGGAUGGUGGUUGCAAACUGAAACAACCACUGGGAGUCUGCAUGU
rnacentral:rRNA from 1 species